GGGAAACGACGGGGAAGCUUGCUUCCCCGGGCGUCGACCGGCGCACGGGUGAGUAACGCGUAUCCAACCUGCCUCUGACUGAGGGAUAACCCGUCGAAAGUCGGCCUAAUACCUCAUGGCAUCGUCUGCGGGCAUCCAACGACGAUUAAGGAUUUCAUCGGUCAGGGAUGGGGAUGCGUCUGAUUAGCUGGUUGGCGGGGUAACGGCCCACCAAGGCGACGAUCAGUAGGGGUUCUGAGAGGAAGGUCCCCCACAUUGGAACUGAGACACGGUCCAAACUCCUACGGGAGGCAGCAGUGAGGAAUAUUGGUCAAUGGGCGAGAGCCUGAACCAGCCAAGUAGCGUGCAGGAUGACGGCCCUAUGGGUUGUAAACUGCUUUUAUGCGGGGAUAAAGUGAGGGACGUGUCCUUCAUUGCAGGUACCGCAUGAAUAAGGACCGGCUAAUUCCGUGCCAGCAGCCGCGGUAAUACGGAAGGUCCUGGCGUUAUCCGGAUUUAUUGGGUUUAAAGGGAGCGUAGGCCGUGGAUUAAGCGUGUUGUGAAAUGCAGGUGCUCAACGUCUGCACUGCAGCGCGAACUGGUCCACUAGAGUGUGCGCAACGCAGGCGGAAUUCGUCGUGUAGCGGUGAAAUGCUUAGAUAUGACGAAGAACUCCGAUUGCGAAGGCAGCUUGCGGGAGCACAACUGACGCUGAAGCUCGAAAGUGCGGGUAUCGAACAGGAUUAGAUACCCUGGUAGUCCGCACGGUAAACGAUGGAUGCCCGUUGUCAGGCUGUUUCAGCCUGGUGA
rnacentral:rRNA from 1 species